rnacentral:tRNA from 1 species
GGAUGCGUAGCUCAGUGGUUAGAGCGUCCGGUUCACAUCCGGAAGGUCAGAGGUUCAAAUCCUCUCGCGUCCA